rnacentral:rRNA from 1 species
UACAGAGGGUGCGAGCGUUGUUCGGAAUUACUGGGCGUAAAGCGCGCGCAGGCGGCUUCUUAAGUCUGACGGUGAAAUGCCGGGGCUCAACCCCGUGCCCGCCGCGGAUACUGGGAAGCUGGAGACGAGUAGAGGCAAGCGGAAUUCCGGGUGUAGCGGUGGAAUGCGUAGAGAUCCGGAAGAACACCGGAGGCGAAGGCGGCUUGCUGGGCUCGGUCUGACGCUGAGGCGCGAAAGCGUGGGGAGCGAACAGGAUUAGAAACCCCCGUAGUCC